rnacentral:rRNA from 1 species
GAUGAACGCUGGCGGCGUGCCUAAUACAUGCAAGUCGAGCGAAUGGAUUAAGAGCUUGCUCUUAUGAAGUUAGCGGCGGACGGGUGAGUAACACGUGGGUAACCUGCCCAUAAGACUGGGAUAACUCCGGGAAACCGGGGCUAAUACCGGAUAACAUUUUGAACCGCAUGGUUCGAAAUUGAAAGGCGGCGUCGGCUGUCACUUAUGGAUGGACCCGCGUCGCAUUAGCUAGUUGGUGAGGUAACGGCUCACCAAGGGAACGAUGCGUAGCCGACCUGAGAGGGUGAUCGGCCACACUGGGACUGAGACACGGCCCAGACUCCUACGGGAGGCAGCAGUAGGGAAUCUUCCGCAAUGGACGAAAGUCUGACGGAGCAACGCCGCGUGAGUGAUGAAGGCUUUCGGGUCGUAAAACUCUGUUGUUAGGGAAGAACAAGUGCUAGUUGAAUAAGCUGGCACCUUAACGGUACCUAACCAGAAAGCCACGGCUAACUACGUGCCAGCCGCCGCCGUAA